rnacentral:rRNA from 1 species
UACGGAGGGUGCAAGCGUUAUCCGGAUUCACUGGGUUUAAAGGGUGCGUAGGAGGGCAGGUAAGUCAGUGGUGAAAUCCCCCGAGCUUAACUUGGGAACUGCCGUUGAUACUAUCUGUCUUGAAUAUUGUGGAGGUGAGCGGAAUAUGUCAUGUAGCGGUGAAAUGCUUAGAUAUGACAUAGAACACCAAUUGCGAAGGCAGCUCGCUACACAUAUAUUGACUCUGAGGCACGAAAGCGUGGGGAUCAAACAGG